UUUCCAGUGGAGGGUUUAUGUUGCUCAUAUGCCUUGUCUUCAAUUAUUGAUUGCAUUUAAUGUGAAUGCUAUGGGGGAGGGAAUAUGGAAGACAAGAAGGUAAAGAAAGGACUUCUGUGGAAUCUGCGUGAACUGAAACAUGACAAAGUCUGAAGUUAUAAGUGAUAGGUGGAAUGGAAGAGAGGAGCAAGUUGAAGUCCAGGUCCUGAGUGGCAAGAGACACCGUCAGCAUGGAGCUCUGAUGCUUAAAACAUGGGAGAAAUGUAGGAUGCUGGUACCACAGAAGUUGUGUGCUACAAACUUUGAGCUACACCUCCUGGCUAGGAAUGGAUCUGCCUCCAGCCGCAUGCUCCCCAAGCACUUUCAUACUCAACACAUUGCCCAGAUACACAGAGAGCCUGGACAAGGGAAGUCCUCCAGGAUGAAACACGGGGAGCUACUGCUGAUGAGCCUGCAGGACCUUAGAGCUCCUUGUGUGUCUGCUUUCUGCGCCUUGGCUGCAUAGGAGCUGCUCACCUGAUUGCGAGGGAUGAAGUCAGGAAGGAAUUCUUCCCCUCCAUCUCAUAACAAAAGCUGCUUCUUUCAUCUUCUGUGAUUCAAGGCUUUGUCUCCCUCCUGGAUGUGCUCACAAUCACUCUCCCUGCUAUUGUUGGGACCUGACACAUCUACAUGGCUCUCCACCUCUCCUCAAGAAUGAAAUCACCUUCCUUUUGUAGGCAAACCUUUCCUGCUUGUCAAAUAGGGAAUUUUGCCCUCCUUAAUGGGAGCUGCAGUAUCCCAUGGCUGCCUAAUGAAGUAGGAGCUCAAUGAGGCCUCCUCUACACCAAACAAUCCCAUAUAUCAGAGGCCAUCCCUUUGAAUUCAACAGCUUUUCUGGUGCUAAGAGAGGAUAUUGAAAACCUGGCCUUAAAUCACACUUUUCAGGUAAUAAGCAGCAAUGAAUAAAAGAGAAAAGGAAGCCAAGAGGCUUAUAGGAUUUAAGGAGCUUCUUUUGAAAGAAGAAUCCACCCUGUUGCUGAUGGCCAGAUGCUCAUGUGUGCCUGGAGAUGUGCAAAUAAACAUAGGGUGUAAAGCUGUUAGCAGUGGUUCACGGCAACUGACUAACUCCUGUCAAGGGAAAGCAGGUUAGGUAAACUUUUCAGGUGUUUGGAGGUGAAUCUUUUCAUUUGUGCACAGCCCUUGGUUGACCCAACUAUUUCACAUCAUUACCAAUUGCUUUGUUCGUAUGUAUCAGACUUCCUUCUUGUGCUUUAUUGGUUUUUGCUCUCACUGACCUCUUCCAGCAGUUUACUUUCUAACAUCCUGAAAGCUUCAUCAUGACUGCUCAGUGCAGCUCACCUAGGGCUGAGAUUAAAAGUUAAAAAAGAGAAAGAGUGAACACAACAGGAGAGAAAACAGAAGCGAUUUUGGCAGCAACCUGGUGACACUCUGAAGUAAGUGAAAUGGGAUGGGUAACCACCUGGAAUAAUGGCAGGGGGAAAAAGAGAGAGAAGAAGCUUAGGGAAUUGGCUCAAACAGCAGGGCCUGGGCAAGAGGAUUAGGGGAAAUAGCAAUGUGAGCAGACCUCGGGAAUGGAGAAAGCAGAAAGCAUAUCAUCUCAGCUCUCUGUUCCAAAGAAAGAUGCCAAGACCAGUUAAAAUGGAAUAUAGGCUUGUCUGACUCACAACACAAAUCCCCAGUGCCUUGUAUCCAGUAGCUGCUUCUAUCCCAGGCUGAAACUCUGAAGGUACAAGAGGAGUCACAGGGUUAUCCAGAAUGAGAGGAGUAAGGAGAGAAAGUGGAAAUCAAACUGGAGAGCAGAUCUGCUUCCCACAUCUUACUGCAGCUGCAGGACACUUUGCUGUAGCACGGCCAACAGAGCAUCAAUAAUAUCCAUGCCCAGGGGUGCCUCAGAGUGACAUUUGUGGCCUCUCUCUGCACACUGGGGUAUGGGGGACAGAAGGAGGUGAGAGUAUGUCAGCCUGGCCAAGGCUCACUCAGGCUGAACCCAGGACCUUCUGCCAUUUCUAUUCCGGGAACUCACCACGGGGUUAUGUUUGGGUUGCCUAAACAGAAUGUUGCUGCCAUUGGUAGAGGAUAAACAUUUUAUUCGGUAGCAGUGGGGGGAGAUUUGGGAGUCUGACUCUGCUCUGAAUGCGGGUGACAGUUGAAGCAUUCAGUACUCUUGCCAGGAAAUAUCUUAAGAUUCAUUUGGUGUCAAUAAUAAAAAAAAAUAGAAUAUUUCACUUUUUUUUUUUUUUAAUUAGCUUGUAUAUGGUAGAAAAUUAAAGCACAAAGCCAAAUGUUGUUGUUGUGUCCUCUCAGAAAAGCUGGCCUGGGUUCUCUAGCACAGUCAUAACCUUUCUUGCAGUUCACCACCAAAAAGUAGUGCUGACAAAAUCAAUUUGUUGUUAUGAAGUGUUUCAGUACUGUUGGAAUCACAUAACUUACAGUUGGUACGUGUAUCAUUGUCUCUAACUCUAAUGCAUUUCAGGUGUUUAGUCUCUCAGGUUAUCAUCUAGAGCUGUAAGAUACAGGCUUUGCUUUAGCUUUACAGUACCAUGAAAUGUCAUAAAGCCCUGUGAUUCUUGGUUUGGGACUGCUGAUUUCAACACAUGGGAGCAAAAACUGUGAGAUCAUGGUAAUUGAGAAGGAAUUCCAAGCAGGACCAACUGGAAGUCUAUUCCGUGAUACUAAAUCACUAGAACUGCAUGAAAUCUCCUAGCAGAAGACACUGUAUAGACUUCAAAGGAUCUUUGUUUUGAAAAAGGAAAAGAAAGGAGCAUUUUUCCUGCAUUCUUUCAUUCAUGACGUAUAUGAUGUUGGGGUUUUUUGGUCAUAUUUUUUUUUUUCUUGUGUAUAUUCUGCUUAAUUGAUAAUGCUAAUGAAGAGUUAAACUGCUACAUCUUUAGACUAAUGACCCUUUUCAAGGCUAUUUUAACGGUGCCUUCCCAGCUUUUCCAAAUCCCUGCUUUGCAUUUAGGAGAAAGAGAGAAGUUUAGACUCCGUGUCUGCCUUUGGUGUUUCUGCCAACGGCAGAUCUGAGGAAUGCAGUGCCAUGUCCUGGGGUACAUAAAGCUUUGGUUUGGCAUCCUUGACAUCUUUGGUCCUUGUUGUGGCUAUCUCAUAAUUCAUGCAAGUGUUGCCAUACAACUGGAAGUUUUUCAUGAGGUCAUAAAAGUGAUUUAUAGAGGUUUUCCCAUAAUCUCCAAGAAAAUUAAAGAAGGCUGAUGGAGCUAUUCAGCUCACUGUUGCCUUAACAAUGGUUUCAUUCAGAAAUGACACUGAGCAAGAUUGAGGUAUUAAGAUAGCAAGAAUGUCCUUAGGAAGUCUUUUCUGUCUGUAAAUAACGGGAUGCAUUCAAACUAGAAAGUGUUGUUUCUUCUAUAUAUUUUGAUGAUUUUACCCAUGACAACUGCCUUGAGAUUGGUCAGAGAUUUUCUUACUUCACUUUCUGCUUCCAGAUGCAAAAGGCUGAUUAACCCACUGCAGAUCCCUGCUUGGCAAAAUGAUUUCCUUCUGAGAUAUAUGAAGGUAAAGAUUACCU